AGCUCGACUUUUGGCACAGGUAUUUUAUGACACUUUAAAUAUGGCUUGGGAGGUCCUGCAUAGUUUGCUCAAUAUGGUCUUGUUCCGCACUGCAGUUAUCCUCCGAAUUUCAUCCCUGUCUUUCUCCAAGUGAUUUGUCAUUCUCUCCUCAUCCGUAUGAAAUCCCAUAUCGAAUGCCUUAAUCUCCUUUGAAUCAAUAAGAACAGAUGGAGAGU
rnacentral:lncRNA from 1 species